rnacentral:misc_RNA from 1 species
GAAAUGCGAUAAGUAAUGUGAAUUGCAGAAUUCAGUGAAUCAUCGAAUCUUUGAACGCAUCUUGCGCUCCUUGGUAUUCCUUGGAGCAUGCCUGUUUGAGUAUCAUGAAAUCUUCAAAGUAAAUCUUUUGUUAACUCAAUUGGUUUCUACUUUGGUAUUGGAGGUCUUUGCAGCUUCACACCUGCUCCUCUUUGUUCAUUAGCUGGAUCUCAGUGUUAUGCUUGGUUCCACUCGGCGUGAUAAGUUAUCUAUCGCUGAGGACACUGUAAAAGGUGGCCAAGGUAAAUGCAGAUGAACCGCUUCUAAUAGUCCAUUGACUUGGACAAUACUUUUAUGAUCUGAUCUCAAAUCAGGUAGGACUACCCGCUGAACUUAAG